AUCUCUGGUUGGGGAUCCCUCUCUUGUGGAGUUCUUUCUGCAAGCCUAGAUCUUUGGAGACGAGAGCGGCCCAGGAAGAUGGAAGUCUUUCAUUGUUAAAUCUCUGCAAGAGCUGUUUAAACACACACACAGAGUUAAUAUGCGCAUUCUUUACAGUAACUUUCUUCAAACUGGAGGAAGGAGAGAUCUGUUCUGUUUUUGGCAGAGCCUUUGGAGCAGGUUCUGCCUGGAAGGCAUGAACCCCCACAGCUUGGUCUUGAGGACAAAGGUAAAUGCCUUAUUCUUUUCCUUCUUUGAAGGCAAAAGAAAAAAUCACACAAACAACAAAGGAGCAGUCUUGAUGAGAGGUGAAAGUGUUCAUCUUCCCCAGUUUAGGACUGGGGGAUGGUUAGUAUGAUAUGUCAGAAUGUGGCUUAAAACAAUAUAUGUAUUCCUUAUGAGGGCUGAUUGGAUUUUUGAAGAUCUCUGAAAAUGAAGAUCCCACAGCAUUUCUGUGCAAUCUGUUCCUGUUUUAAUUCAUGGUAAAAAAAAAAAAGUGUUUUCUUGUGUUCACAUGGAACCCACUAUAUUUGAUUUAUACACAUUGCUUCUGGUCUUGUCACAGGCCAUGACUGAGAAGAGCCUGGCUCCCACUUUUAUUUUUCCCUUCCAUCAAGUAUUUAUAUACACUGAUAAGACUCCCUCUGAGAUUUCUCUGGACUCAGAGAAGAGUCCAGCUUUGUAUUCCAUUCCCUUAACCAGGUUUUUGGUCCCAUGCUGGACUUGGACAGACUGUUUUUUCUUGCGCUGGGCUGGUGUUGAAUGAAGGGGAGCAACACCUCCCUCAACCUUCUGGUGAUAUUCUUCUGAAGUCAACCCAGGAUGCCAUUUGUCCUACUUGUCCUUGAGAUUAUUGUUCAACCUGUUGUCCACCAGGUCCUUCUUUGAUGAACUGCUUUUCAGCUGAGUGGUGCCAGCAAGCACUGAUGCUCAGAAGUAUUCCUUCCAGGUGCAGGACUUUGCCCUUCUCCUUCUUGAAAUUCAUGAAGCUCCUGUGGGCCCAAUUCUCCAUGCUGCUCAUCUCCCUUUGGAUGAGAGCCUGAUCACCUCAUAUAUCAUCCACUCCUCACAGUUUUCAUAGAAUCAGAAAAUUGCUCGGGUUGGGACCUUCAAGAUCAUCAAGUCCAACUACAAAAAAAUGUAUAACUGAACUUUCUAGUGGUGUACUCUGCCCUGAUAUCUAGGUAACUAAUGAAGAUAUUAAGCAGUGUUGGCCCUGUAUCAGUUCCUGGGGUGCUCCACUGCUUCCAACUGGACUUUGUGCUGCUUGUCAUCACAGUCUUCCAAGUCAGGCUGUUCAUUUAGUUCACCUCACUAUGCACAUAUUUAACCUGUACUUUGUCAGCUAGACUAUGAGGAUACUGUGGAAGCAGGUGUCAAAAUCUUUUUUUCUUUCUUGCAAGAUUAAAUGUCAGAUACUGUUG
ensembl:lncRNA